UGGGGAAUAUUGCACAAUGGGCGCAAGCCUGAUGCAGCAACGCCGCGUGAGGGACGACGGCCUUCGGGUUGUAAACCUCUUUUGGCAGGGAAGAAGCGAAAGUGACGGUACCUGCAGAAAAAGCACCGGCUAACUACGUGCCAGCAGCCGCGGUAAUACGUAGGGUGCAAGCGUUGUCCGGAAUUAUUGGGCGUAAAGAGCUCGUAGGCGGUUUGUCGCGUCUGCUGUGAAAACGCGAGGCUCAACCUCGCGCCUGCAGUGGGUACGGGCAGACUAGAGUGUGGUAGGGGAGAUUGGAAUUCCUGGUGUAGCGGUGGAAUGCGCAGAUAUCAGGAGGAACACCGAUGGCGAAGGCAGAUCUCUGGGCCAUUACUGACGCUGAGGAGCGAAAGCGUGGGGAGCGAACAGGAUUAGAUACCCCCGUAGUCC
rnacentral:rRNA from 1 species